CGACGCGGUGAGGCGCGACGCUAACUACUAAAGAACCAAGAGAAAGAACCCAACCCGACCCAACCCGACCCGGCGGGAACCUGACGCGCCCCAGGGCGCAUGGUCGGGCUCCCGGGGGCUUUCGCGGCUGCAUCACUCACACGGGUGACAUUUCCCAACUCAGCUCGCUUUUCGGCUGGUUGCCCGGCAUAUGCUCACGCCAGUACCAACACCCGACAUACGUCGGCCCCCGACCGGGACUGCAAUCCCAACCGAGGGCCUGGCCACCAAGGAAGCAGCAACCUUCCCG
rfam:Streptomyces sp. Ncost-T6T-2b genome assembly, contig: Ga0115255_12797